GUCUACAGCCGUGCCACCCUGAACAAGUCCGAUCCUGUCUGAUCUCGGAAGCUAAGCAGGGUCGGGCAUGGUUAGUACUUGGAUGGGAGACCACCUAGGAAGACCAGGUGCCGUAGGCA
rnacentral:rRNA from 1 species